rnacentral:lncRNA from 1 species
CGGGUGUGUUUGGUUUUUAUUGACGGACUUUGUUCAUUAUCCUACAACCAAAUGCAAUAAUAUAACAAGCCACGUCAUAAGCCACUACAUUAAUAUUGAAUGGUAAUAAUGCGACAAGCCACAUUUAGGAAAAAAUUACAUAUCGCUGGAUUUUCACUACUUGUGUCAUUUCUAGAUUGUACAUAGUCAGGGUCACGGUCACUGUCAUCGAAUGUCAAGUCAACUUUGCUAUUUUUCUUUCUAAAAUCGUCAGAACUCAAUAAUUAUCCGAAACGCUUCCGCCCAUGUUCGCCAUUUUGAUGUGGCUUGUCAUUAUGUCGAGUAGAUACUAGAACAAACUAGGCCUAUGCAAUAGUGUGGCCAUAGAUUUAUCGGGCCAUCUAUUAACGAAGGGCUGAGAUAAUUUGUUAGUGACUUGUUAUACUGUUAAUUUAACCAAGAAUAACACUAACUCUUUUUGAACUCAUGUGUGGCUUGUCAUUGUUUCACAUUAAGCCUUUCAAAUGGUAGUGAAAUUAGGUACCUUGGCACCAAUAUGUAUAAUAAUUAUAAAAACAAAAA